rnacentral:misc_RNA from 1 species
GGAAAUUAGGAAAGAUCAUAAUCUCCUCUGCCUCCUCACUUAGUGUAAAUAAGGGACCGGAUACGGGACUUGGUAGCCAUUACCAUAAUAUGCUGUAUGCGUUGGCGAGAUGGCGUACGGUGUGGAACCCAGAAUUGGGGGAGCAGGAUGGCCUUCGACUGGGUACACAUACUGCCUGUCGUAUGAAUAUGGGUGCCUCUCUGGUGUUCGGUAGAAGCUCUUCUCGGGGAAUGCAGUCACACGAGGGGCAUAUGUGCUGCCAUUAGCACGGGGCCUCUUGGAUUGCGGCUUUGCAGUUUCUGCAGCCCUCCUCUUGUCGGCUUUGGCCUUCUCAAGCUGGAGGAUCCGUUUCUGAAGUGGAUCGGUAGGAUAUUCAUCCUCGAGCUUGUGAUCUUCAAUGCAUUUGAUGACAGCUUUAAGAGCAGACAUUUCGCGCUCAUUCAUCUCAUUCUGAGCACCAGGAGAUGUAUUCCCAGCUUUGACCUGUGACACUUUCCUUGCCUCUUUCAAAAAUGCCUUCAGUAAUGGUACCGGGGCGAAUUGCUCUGUCAAUUCGAAGGAAUAUGCCAGAUUAACAGCCUCAAUUUGCCUUCCGCUACUCACCAGUGCACCAAUUAUACCUGGCAUUUUCGGUGACAACCCAAGUGAGCAGCAUAGAUCAGCCGUUUGACGCCUCCUGGAAACAGCGGGUACCAGUUUGCAUAUCUCAUCUUGAUCGAACUCGGAAGCAACAGCAAAAGUGGCAAGAAGUUGCAGAAAUGCAUGCGCUUCCAAUGAGUUACCACUACUGGCAUCAAUGCCAAGAUCACCUAGCUUUGGCUUCCACUCAUUAGCUAUCGCUCUCGCUUGCUUUUUAAUCUCUGAGGUAAGCAUUUGGUUAUCAGAAGAAAACCCUGAUACACCAUCUGAAAAUACUUGACUAAGACACUCCAUUAACAUGAGACAGGUUCUGCGCACACCCAAAAGGUUUGCAUCCUUCUUGCCAUCUA